UAACUACGUGCCAGCAGCCGCGGUAACACGUAGGGGGCAAGCGUUGUCCGGAUUUAUUGGGCGUAAAGAGCUCGUAGGUGGCUGAGUAAGUCGGAUGUCAAAUCCCCAGGCUCAACCUGGGAUCCCAUCCGAUACUGCUCUGGCUAGAGUCCGGUAGGGGAGCGUGGAAUUCCUGGUGUAGCGGUGAAAUGCGCAGAUAUCAGGAGGAACACCAGCGGCGAAGGCGGCGCUCUGGGCCGGUACUGACACUGAGGAGCGAAAGCGUGGGUAGCAAACAGGAUUAGAUACCCUGGUAGUCCACGCCGUAAACGUUGGGCACUAGGUGUGGGACCUAUUCAACGGGUUCCGUGCCGUAGCUAACGCAUUAAGUGCCCCGCCUGGGGAGUACGGCCGCAAGGCUAAAACUCAAAGGAAUUGACGGGGGCCGCACAAGCAGCGGAG
rnacentral:rRNA from 1 species